AGAGCGAACGCUGGCGGCGUGCUUAACACAUGCAAGUCGAACGCGCAGCAUUCUGUAGCAAUACAGGGUGUGGGCGCGUGGCGAACGGGUGCGUAACACGUGGAUAACCUUCCUUGAGGUGGGAAUACCCAGUGAAAAUUGGGCUAAUACCGCAUAACAUCGCGAUGGCACAUGCUGAUGCGAUCAAAGGCGCAAGUCGCCACAAGAGGGAUCCGCGGCCGAUUAGCUUGUUGGCGAGGUAAUGGCUCACCAAGGCAAUGAUCGGUAGCCGGACUGAGAGGUUGCCGGCACACUGGAACUGAGACACGGUCCAGACUCCUACGGGAGCAGCAGUGGGGAAUAUUGGACAAUGGGCGCAAGCCUGAUCCAGCCAUGCCGCGUGAGUGAUGAAGGCCCUAGGGUUGUAAAGCUCUUUGUGCGGGAAGAUAAUGACGGUACGCAAGAAUAAGCCCGGCUAACUCGUG
rnacentral:rRNA from 1 species